CCUACGGGUGGCAGCAGUGAGGAAUAUUGGUCAAUGGGCGUAAGCCUGAACCAGCCAAGUCGCGUGAAGGAUGAAGGCUCUAUGGGUCGUAAACUUCUUUUAUAUGGGAAUAAAAUGUGGGACGUGUCAGAUUUUGUAUGUACCUUAUGAAUAAGGAUCGGCUAACUCCGUGCCAGCAGCCGCGGUAAUACGGAGGAUCCGAGCGUUAUCCGGAUUUAUUGGGUUUAAAGGGUGCGUAGGCGGCCUUUUAAGUCAGCUGUGAAAGUCUGUGGCUCAACCAUAGAAUUGCAGUUGAAACUGGGGGUCUUGUGUAUGUUAGAGGUAGGCGGAAUGCGUGGUGUAGCGGUGAAAUGCUUAGAUAUCACGAAGAACCCCGAUUGCGAAGGCAGCUUACUGGAC
rnacentral:rRNA from 1 species